ACACAGUUGACGAGUCCCAAAUAGGACGAAAUGCGCGUCCUAGAU
rnacentral:hammerhead_ribozyme from 1 species